UUACGGAUAGGAGCGACCGACUAUAUGAAGAGGCUUGAGUUCCCACCGCAUGUCGGGACGCUCCACGCAUCCUUAGCUCAUAUUUUGGCCAACCGCGUGCGGUAACACACGGGAGACCAACUUCCGUCCAGUACCCGCGAAAGAAUUGAGGGGGACGACGAUUUGUGACGCCCAGGCARACGUGCCCUCGGCCAUAAGGCUUGGGGCGCAACUUGCGUUCAAAGACUCGAUGGUUCACGGGAUUCUGCAAUUCACACCAAGUAUCGCAUUUCGCUACGUUCUUCAUCGAUGCGAGAGCCGAGAUAUCCGUUGCCGAGAGUCGUUUUAGACUUUAUAUCGUGCGCAGCAUACGGACUCGCAACGUCUCCGUGGAGCCGUAAGCUGGCCGUUCGGUUGCAUGUUCCUUGACACUUUUCGUGGGGGGUUGUUGUGAUAUCCAUAACCUACUCGCACCAACCGUCCGGGASAGAUCUCCCGACCGGAACAGCACGCGAAACAUAUGAUUCAGCGGGCACGGGAUCUGCUAAKAAACCGGCCCGCCGCAAGUGAUGAUAGUUGGUUCGCGGGUCRUUCUGUUUUGGACAGGUAUCGACAAUGAUCCUUCCGCAGGGUCACCUACGGAAACCUUG
rnacentral:misc_RNA from 1 species